AACUUAAAGGCUUUGAUCAUUAAGUCCAUGAUGCUUCCUUCCAACAUGUUGAUAACCAUGCUAAUUGAAGGUCUAUUUUCUGGCUUUAUCUGAACUGGCAAAUGGUCAAAACAAGUUUAAUAAUAAGGAGCACACAUAUAGCUUGAUAUCUGAAUUGCUUCCCUUGCUGAAACAUAUCUAUCAGAACCAAUUAAAUGAACUGGAAGUAAAGCAAGGGGAUCAAGGUAAGCUUCAAAACAAUUGCCUAGUUUCUUCCUCCAGUUAGAUAUCCUCUUGAUCGAUCUAUCAUCCAGAAGGUG